rfam:Ochotona princeps cont2.260465, whole genome shotgun sequence.
GCUUUGGGCGAAAUUCUGCAAGGGAAGUGAGAAGAUCCUCCAUUUUGCUCAUCAAACAAAGCAUGCAAACAAUGUGGCCAUCACCAAAGCACAGGAAUAUAAUUUACAGCAUGUAAACUGUCGUUCAACCUGUAUCAAGUUUUCAUAUUCCGUUUGAAUAACUUUGUUCUCAAAGGAAAGAACAGAAAAGACUCAUGAAACACUGCCAGUACUUAACAUUG